rnacentral:rRNA from 14 species
GGGCCGCACGCGCGCUACACUGAUGCAUUCAACGAGUUUAUAACCUUGGCUGAGAAGCCUGGGUAAUCUUUUAAAUGUGCAUCGUGAUAGGGAUUGAUCGUUGCAAUUUUCGAUCAUGAACGAGGAAUUCCUAGUAAACGCAAGUCAUCAGCUUGCAUUGAUUACGUCCCUGCCCUUUGUACACACCGCCCGUCGCACCUACCGAUUGAAUGUCUCGGUGAAAUCCCCGGAC